AGCGGCGUACGGGUGCGGAACACGUGUGCAACCUGGCUUUAUCUUGGGGGAUACUUAAGGAGAUUAAUACCCCAUAAUAUGUUGAAUGGCAUCAUUCGACAUUGAAAACUCCGGUGGAUAGAGAUGGGCACGCGCAAGAUUAGAUAGUUGGUGAGGUAACGGCUCACCAAGUCUACGAUCUUUAGGGGGCCUGAGAGGGUGAUCCCCAACUGGUACUGAGACACGGACCAGACUCCUACGGGAGGCAGCAGUGAGGAAUAUUGGACAAUGGGUGAGAGCCUGAUCCAGCCAUCCCGCGUGAAGGACGACUGCCCUAUGGGUUGUAAACUUCUUUUGUAUAGGGAUAAACCUACCCUCGUGAGGGUAGCUGAAGAUACUAUACGAAUAAGCACCGGCUAACUCCGUGCCAGCAGCCGCGGUAAUACGGAGGGUGCAAGCGUUAUCCGGAUUUAUUGGGUUUAAAGGGUCCGUAGGCGGAUCUGUAAGUCAGUGGUGAAAUCUCACAGCUUAACUGUGAAACUGCCAUUGAUACUGCAGGUCUUGAGUGUUGUUGAAGUAGCUGGAAUAAGUAGUGUAGCGGUGAAAUGCAUAGAUAUUACU
rnacentral:rRNA from 1 species